rnacentral:rRNA from 1 species
UACGGAGGGUGCAAGCGUUGUUCGGAUUUACUGGGCGUAAAGGGCGCGUAGGCGGAUCUGCAAGUCAGAUGUGAAAUUCCCAGGCUCAACCUGGGGGCUGCAUCUGAAACUGUGGUUCUUGAGUGCUGGAGAGGAAAGCGGAAUUCCUAGUGUAGCGGUGAAAUGCGUAGAUAUUAGGAGGAACACCAGUGGCGAAGGCGGCUUUCUGGACAGUAACUGACGCUGAGGCGCGAAAGCGUGGGGAGCAAACAGG